UAUCCAUAGACAUUUGUCCAUUUAAGAAUUGUCUCUUGUUUUUCCCAUCUUAUUGUCUUAUAUUUCUUUUUGAUUUUAUUGUUCCUUACUUUCAUUGAUUAGUCUCACGAUGUGGCUGAAAGGAUUUGAUGCUCUGGGUUUCUACUAACUAUAAUUCUGGGGAAUGAUGUCAUCAUUUCCCAUCUUAUUGUUUUAUUUUUAUUUUUUUUUUUAUUAUCAAAAAAAAAAAAACUUUUGAUUUUAGUGCUUCCUUACUUUCAUUAGACUCACAAUAUGGCUGAAAGGAUUUGUUGCUUUUGAUUUUGUGUUCACAAGAAAUUAUCUGUCUAACCUGUUUUGCAAAGCCUUUGGCAGCUUCACUUGUUUAGUCACAACUCAAAAUGUCCGUUUAAUAAUAUCAUUGAACAGAUAAAGCAGACUCUAGAUAGAUCUUUGUAUAUAUAUGACACGUCAUGCCCCUGUAAAACCAGAAACUUAUGUGUCUGCUGCUCCAAUGAUAAUGAUGACCUGGCGCUUCUUACUUGUUCUACAUGCAAGUACUGGAUUGAGGAAAGAGAUGUAUUGGAACAGUUUGUGGAUCAAGCUCAGGCAUGCAGAACUUUCUUGACAGAAAUAGUCAAUUUUGCUUUAGCUUAUUUUGAUAAAGAUCUCGGUGUGGUCUCUGAAAAAUUAACUACUGCUCUUAAGGCCAUUGAAGUGGCAGGUCUGUAUGAUCAUCAAGCUAAUCACAGCCUUGAGCUGGCAUUAGCAAGAUACUCUUGGAGAUUCAAAGUCAAUAGGUUAUUAGGGGGUUUACAAAAGCCCACGAUCCAACAGAUUCAGCAGCACUUGAAAGAGGUGUG